rnacentral:lncRNA from 1 species
CUUGUGUCGUAAGUACAUAUAUAUUAUACAUAGUACUACUAGGUAACAGGUAUCAGGUUCAGGUAUCCGUGACUACUUUACGGACAGAUUAUUUUAACAACUCCGAUGUGGAAGCACGAUAAUGUACACCUAACAGGAUAAUAUAGUGAACUAGUGUUAUUAUUUGUUUGAUACUAUUAUUAUCAUUUUUUUUUUUUAACACAACUUUCAUUCAUCUAACUUUCUUCAAUACAAACAUAAGAGGGAAUUAUCCAUCCUCUUAAAUCAAAAACAUA